AGCGAACGCUGGCGGCAGGCCUAACACAUGCAAGUCGAACGAUCCCUCGGGAUAGUGGCGGACGGGUGAGUAACACGUGGGAACGUGCCCUUUGGUUCGGAACAACUCAGGGAAACUUGAGCUAAUACCGGAUGUGCCCUUCGGGGGAAAGAUUUAUCGCCAUUGGAGCGGCCCGCGUCUGAUUAGCUAGUUGGUGAGGUAAUGGCUCACCAAGGCGACGAUCAGUAGCUGGUCUGAGAGGAUGAUCAGCCACACUGGGACUGAGACACGGCCCAGACUCCUACGGGAGGCAGCAGUGGGGAAUCUUGCGCAAUGGGCGAAAGCCUGACGCGGCCAUGCCGCGUGAAUGAUGAAGGUCUUAGGAUUGUAAAAUUCUUUCACCGGGGACGAUAAUGACGGUACCCGGAGAAGAAGCCCCGGCUAACUUCGUGCCAGCCGCCGCCGUAACAC
rnacentral:rRNA from 1 species